UAGCACAAGAAGACAGCCAUGCAUGGCCAUGGCAACGGUUGUCGAAAGAAUUUUGUUUAGUUGAGUGUAGGAAAAAAUAUAAGUCCACUACGGUGCCGUUCGCUUGUCUGCUGCCUUUUCUUCAAUUCUACAAUCCAUAUUUAAAGUAGUAAAGAAUGGAUGCCGAAGAUUCGGUUCCGGAAAAGGAAAGUACCGACUCAGGAGCGGUUCCCGCUGUACCAAAAGACGGUGCUAAUCCACUAUUUCUCAAUUUAGUGGAAUCGGCAUUGCUGGAAGGGCGGUCGCAUAGUAUCGUCGAAAGUUUCGUGCGUGACAAUCGGUUCCGCAAAAAAAAUAUCCCGUUAAACUACGCGGAGGAUAAGGAAAGGAUACGCAUCUGUUUGAAUAAUGCGGACAAGCGGAUCGCGGAACUUAUGCGCGAUGGGCUGGAACUUAUCGAGGACGUGCGUGUGGCCAGCGACAGACACGAGGUGGAACGUCGCAUGGCAGAGGCGGAUAUUAAGGGAUCCCUCCUGAGCAAGAUUCAUACCGAGUCGGUAGAUUCGGUAGCAAAAUUUCAAACCACCUUCGAAAAGUGGACCGAAAUCAAAGCCCUGAAAGAUCCGAUGCUGAUGAACGAUGAGCUGCAGCUGCAGAAGAACCGCGUCGAGGAGCUGCUGAAACAGAAGGACUUAAUCAUUGCUGAGUGCCGGAAGGAGCUGCAGGCGGCUGAUGAUCGAUACGCUAGGGACAUUCGCAAGCAGAUAGUCGAUAUUCAGAGUUUGGUGCAUCGGGCCGAUACGGAGGUGGAGGCAAUGAAAAGCAUUCUGAAGGAAAAUUUAGAACUCAUUCAAGGAACAGUUGAGGAGGAACGAGUCAUAUUGCAGAAUGCGGCCAAUUUCAACUGGAAUGACGUUUAUGCAAAGCGAGCCACAAAUGAACGCAUCAAAGUGAAGCAAAAGAAGGAACGGUUGCUCGCGAAUCUAACAGAGAUAGAACAGAUCGAGCUUGAUUACGUUGAGACAACGCGGGCCACCAGAAUAAAGCUGGACAAGGACACCCAGGCGCUUGCGAUCGAAUUGCAAAAGAUUAAAACCAACACCACGCUCAACUCGGAAAAGCUCGACUACAGCUUCCAGGUGCUGAAAAAGCGGGAAGACGAAAACCUAAUGGUAAAGAACGCCCAAAAGCGUCGUCUGGCCAAGCUGCACGAAACCAUCUUUACGCUGCGCAAUAAGCUGAAGGACACGAAAACGACCUACUACAUCGAGACGGAAAAGACGGCCAAAAUGAUUGAGAAGCUGCAUCACAGCGUGGACCACAUACGCAGCAAACUGGAAUGCUCCAAGAAGGCGUACGAUAAGCGGGUCCGCUCGAUUUGGAACUUGAAUCGUGACGAAUGCUUUGAAAUCAUCCAAAACAUAUCGGCCAUUGAUAAAAUACUCGUCGAGCAGCACCUGAACCGGAAGUGGACCAAUAAUUUGAGUGCCAUUUCGGAUUUGCUGCUAAACUAUGAUCCACUAUGCACACCGAAGCUGCCCAGCACAGCGAAAACAAAGCGAAGCCUUACCAACUCCAAAGAGGAACAGCAGCAACAGCAGCAGCAGAACGAUUUCACGCGGUUGAAAAAUUUGCUCGAACAGUCACGCUUUCUGAGUGAUAAAAAGCUGGAAACGGCGUUGCAAGAUCGGCAGCUCGAUAGUUGCGGCAUGACACUGAUCUGUAUGGACAAUGUGCUGAAUGCGCUCGGGAUCGACAGCAUGGAUGGUGUGCGUCAACUGCAGUCCACCCACUCGGACGUGCAGCAUUUGAAUGACGCGGAGGACGCAUGCAGCACCUCGGAUGUUUCUUCGGUUGAUAACAGGGAGGUCGAUACACACCAAAGGGCGCUUACAACGUCGCGGGAUCUUUUGGCACUUAAGAUGUUCUGCGAGGACGAUGAUGAGGCAUUACACUCUCAAGCGGAAGUUAAAGCCGAAGCUAAGCUCACGCUCUCCGAUACGCGGAAGUUUUGGGAGUCGUUCAAGAACAUUUUCCUUCCCAAUCAAAUGAAAGUUUGGGAUACGAUGGAAGAAAGUUUGAGCAAAUACUUGCAGGUACUCCGCGAAAGGCAUGCACUGGACGAGGAGUGUAGUUUCCUGCGGAAGCAAAACCAAGAGCUGCAGCACAUUAUGCAGAAAAUGUUGAUCAAACCGUUGAACGACGAUUUCUAGACAACGAAACACGUGCACGGUUUGAAUUUGAUGCUUUUCUGUAGCGAUUUGUACUUUUGGGAUGAUUUAAAAUCAAAUUAUCGUGUGGUGUGUAAUGGUGAACGAUUUUCGCUAUCCAUAAUUUCAAAUCUUAUCGCCGUGCUUUGCUUUUGCUGCAACGGCGGCGCGUAAACGCAAACGUCACUCCUGUGCGCUUUAGAGUUGGGCAAAACGCACAAAAAAGCGGAACUGGGUCCGGACGAUUCCAACAAAUUUCGGACCAAGUUCCGUAGGAUUGGUUCAAUCCGACAAGCCGGAACCGCCCGGAAUCGUCCGGAAUCGUCUGGAAUCGUCGGAAUCGUCGGAAUCGUGCGGAGUCGUUGGAACCGUCCGGAAUCGUCUGGAAUCGCCCGGAAUCGCUCAGAAUUGACCGAAAUCGUCGUAAUUGUCCGGAAUCGCCCGGAAUUGUCCGGAAUCGCUCGGAAUUGACCGGAAUCGCCCGGAAUCGCCCGGAAUCGUCCGGAAUCGUCGUAAUUAACCGGAAUCGUCUGAAAUCGUCGGAAUUCCAUUUCAUUUCAUGUCAUUUAUGCAGUGCAUAA